rnacentral:lncRNA from 1 species
ACAGAAUCUAGUUCUAUAUUUAAUAGUUUUCUACUUCUUCUUUACAUAGAAAACAAGGCUGUGGUUUUGCUGUGUAAGAGAACAGCUACUCUGAGGUCGGUGAUGGCAUGUCCACACAAGUUAAAGUGUUCUUCCAUGGAAUUGAUAUCAGAUUGCCAUUUUGGAAGGAGAUGUACCUUUUGGUUUGGAGAUCGGUAAAAUUCACUUUUGGCUAUUCAGAUUGAAUUUUGGUCCUGUGGAAAUUUUAGCUUUUUGUUUCCAUUUGAGAACACAUUUUAAAAUGUCAAAAUUUACACAAAAAAACAGGAAUUUGGGAUUCUGCCCAACUCUCAGAUCUCUUGCUACCCACGAAGUAAAUAGAAUAUUGACUGUGAUGGUAAUGUUUUCAACCCUUAAGAAAACAGCAGUACAUACAUACAUACAUCUGAUAGACUUGGAACCAUGGCAGUAAUUAGCUCCCAACUCUGUUUAAGGUUUGAUUUCCUACUAAUGUGCAAUGAUACAACCAAAUUUUUUAAUAAAUUAUAGGCAAAAUGUUUCUGUUGUCUAACA